rnacentral:rRNA from 2 species
GACAGAGGGUGCAAACGUUGUUCGGAAUUACUGGGCGUAAAGCGCGUGUAGGCGGCCCGGAAAGUCGGAUGUGAAAGCCCUGGGCUUAACCUAGGAAGUGCAUUCGAAACUGCUGGGCUUGAGUUCUGGAGAGGAAGGCGGAAUUCUCGGUGUAGAGGUGAAAUUCGUAGAUAUCGAGAGGAACACCGGUGGCGAAGGCGGCCUUCUGGACAGUGACUGACGCUGAGACGCGAAAGCGUGGGGAGCAAACAGG